AUGGUCAUGGCUCAGUGGCAGAAUAUGCUUGCCUGGCAAGCAGGAGGCCCUAAGUUCAAACCUCAGUGGCAAUA
rnacentral:tRNA from 1 species